rnacentral:rRNA from 1 species
GAUGAACGCUGGCGGCGUGCUUAACACAUGCAAGUCGAACGAAGCACCUUAUUCUGAUUUCUUCGGAAUGAAAAAUUUGGUGACUGAGUGGCGGACGGGUGAGUAACGCGUGGGUAACCUGCCUCAUACAGGGGGAUAACAGUUAGAAAUGACUGCUAAUACCGCAUAAGACCACAGCACCGCAUGGUGCAGGGGUAAAAACUCCGGUGGGAUGAGAUGGACCCGCGUCUGAUUAGGUAGUUGGUGGGGAAACGGCAUACCACGCCGACGAUCAGUAGCCGACCUGAGAGGGUGACCGGCCACAUUGGGACUGAGACACGGCCCAAACUCCUACGGGAGGCAGCAGUGGGGAGUAUUGCACAAUGGGGGAAACCCUGAUGCAGCGACGCCGCGUGAGCGAUGAAGUAUUUCGGUAUGUAAAGCUCUAUCAGCAGGGAAGAAAAUGACGGUACCUGACUAAGAAGCACCGGCUAAAUACGUGCCAGCAGCCGCCGUAA